CGCACAUUGCGCCCACUAGUAUUCUGGUGGGCAUGCCUGUUCGAGCGUCAUUAAUUCCACUCAAGCUUCAGUGCUUGGUAUUGGGAGACUACUUUACUGUAGCUCCUCAAAGUCAGCGGCGGAGUUGUGUCAUCCUCUGAGCUUAGUAAUUUAUUCUAGCUUCUGAAGUGGCCCAGCCCCUGCCGUAAAACACCCAUCUUUUUAAUGGUUGACCUCGGAUCAGGUAGGAAUACCCGCUGAACUUAA
rnacentral:misc_RNA from 1 species